CAUCGGCUAGGGACAAAGGUAGCAAAGCGUGCAACUCCUCCGUAGUACCUAGGCACAGUCCCCAAAUUUCUUUCUCUCAACUCACACAUGCACACCAGCCGGCAGCGCAGCACUU
rnacentral:lncRNA from 1 species